UACGUAGGGAGCAAGCGUUAUCCGGAUUUACUGGGUUUAAAGGGUGCGUAGGCGGCUUUUUAAGUCAGCGGUGAAAUUUUGCAGCUUAACUGUAACAGUGCCGUUGAUACUGGGGAGCUAGGAUUUGGUUGCUGUGGGUGGAAUGUGUGGUGUAGCGGUGAAAUGCUUAGAGAUCACACAGAAUAUCGAUUGCGAAGGCAGCUCACAAAGCCAAGAUUGACGCUGAGGCACGAAAGUGUGGGGAUCAAACAGGAUUAGA
rnacentral:rRNA from 1 species